AUUGAACGCUGGCGGCAGGCCUAACACAUGCAAGUCGAGCGCGAAAAUUCCUUCGGGGAUGAGUAGAGCGGCGGACGGGUGAGUAAUGCGCAGAAAUCUGCCCAGUAGUGGGGGACAACCUGGUGAAAACCAGGCUAAUACCGCAUACGCCCUACGGGGAAAGGCAGGGAUCUUCGGACCUUGCGCUAUUGGAUGAGUCUGCGUCGGAUUAGCUUGUUGGUGAGGUAAUGGCUCACCAAGGCGACGAUCCGUAGCUGGUCUGAGAGGAUGAUCAGCCACACUGGGACUGAGACACGGCCCAGACUCCUACGGGAGGCAGCAGUGGGGAAUAUUGGACAAUGGGCGAAAGCCUGAUCCAGCCAUGCCGCGUGUGUGAAGAAGGCUCUAGGGUUGUAAAGCACUUUCAGUGGGGAAGAAAGCUUGUUAGCUAAUAACUGACGAGUGUGACAUUACCCACAGAAGAAGCACCGG
rnacentral:rRNA from 1 species